AGAUUGAACGCUGGCGGCAUGCUUUACACAUGCAAGUCGAGCGGCAGCGCGGGACUCAGGCAACUGAGCUCUGGCGGCGAGCGGCGAACGGGUGAGGAAUACAUCGGAACGUACCCCGGAGUGGGGGAUAACGCCGCGAAAGCGGCGCUAAUACCGCAUAUGCUCUGAGGAGGAAAGUGGGGGCUUCGCAAGAACCUCACGCUCGUGGGAGCGGCCGAUGUCCGAUUAGCUUAGGUUGGGUAGGGGUAAUGGCUUACCGAAGGCGACGAUCGGUAGCUGGUCUGAGAGGAUGAUCAGCCACACUGGGACUGACGACACCGGCCAGCUCCGACGGGAGCAGCGAGGUGGGUAAUUU
rnacentral:rRNA from 1 species